rnacentral:pre_miRNA from 1 species
GGCCUCCCUCUGCGGGGUGAUCGAUCUGAGGGCCUUGCCAUCGAUCGCCCCACAGAGGGAGGCC